rnacentral:rRNA from 1 species
AUUUUCCGGUUGAUCCUGCCGGCGGCCACCGCUAUUGGAAUACGAUUAAGACAUGCGAGUCGAGAGACAUUAUGGUCUCGGCGGACCGCUCAGUAACACGUGGAUAACAUGCCCUAAGGUGGGGGAUAAUCUCGGGAAACUGAGGAUAAUACCCCAUAGGUCUUCUAUGCUGGAAUGCUCGAAGGCCGAAAACUCCGGUGCCUUAGGAUUGGUCUGCGGCCUAUCAGGCUGUAGUGGGUGUAAUGGACCCACUAGCCCGUGACGGGUAUGGGCCUUGAGAGAGGGAGCCCAGAGAUGGACUCUGAGACAUGAGUCCAGGCCCUACGGGGCGCAGCAGUCGCGAAAACUUCGCAAUGGGGGCAACCCCGACGAGGGAAUUCCAAGUGCCAGCACUUUGUGUUGGCUGUUCUCCUGUCUAAAAAACAGGAGGAGUAAGGGGCGGGUAAGACGGGUGCCAGCCGCCGCGGUAAUACCCGCGCCCCUAGUGGUGGUCGAUAUUAUUGAGCCUAAAACGUCCGUAGCCGGUCUUUUAAAUCCUUGGGUAAAUCGGGCAGCUUAACUGUCCGAAUUCCGAGGAGACUGGAAGACUUGGGACCGGGAGAGGUCAGAGGUACUUCUGGGGUAGGGGUAAAAUCCUGUAAUCCUGGAAGGACCACCGGUGGCGAAGGCGUCUGACUAGAACGGAUCCGACGGUGAGGGACGAAGCCCUGGGGCGCAAACGGGAUUAGAUACCCCGGUAGUCCAGGGUGUAAACGCUGCGGGCUUGGUGUUGGGGGUCCUUUGUGGGCGCCCAGUGCCGGAGAGAAGUUGUUAAGCCUGCUGCUUGGGGAGUAUGUCCGCAAGGAUGAAACUUAAAGGAAUUGGCGGGGGAGCACCGCAACGGGAGGAGCGUGCGGUUCAAUUGGAUUCAACGCCGGAAAU